UACGUAGGGUGCGAGCGUUAAUCGGAAUUACUGGGCGUAAAGGGCUCGUAGGCGGCCAACUAAGUCAGACGUGAAAUCCCUCGGCUUAACCGGGGAACUGCGUCUGAUACUGGAUGGCUUGAGAUUGGGAGAGGGAUGCGGAAUUCCAGGUGUAGCGGUGAAAUGCGUAGAUAUCUGGAGGAACACCGGUGGCGAAGGCGGCAUCCUGGACCAACACUGACGCUGAGGGAGCGAAGGCCAGGGGAGCAAACGGG
rnacentral:rRNA from 1 species